rnacentral:rRNA from 1 species
UACAGAGGUCUCAAGCGUUGUUCGGAUUCAUUGGGCGUAAAGGGUGCGUAGGCGGCGCGGUAAGUCGGGUGUGAAAUUUCGGAGCUUAACUCCGAAACUGCAUUCGAUACUGCCGUGCUUGAGGACUGGAGAGGAGACUGGAAUUUACGGUGUAGCAGUGAAAUGCGUAGAGAUCGUAAGGAAGACCAGUGGCGAAGGCGGGUCUCUGGACAGUUCCUGACGCUGGGGCACGAAGGCCAGGGGAGCAAACGGG